ACGGACCAAACUCCUACGGGAGGCAGCAGUGAGGAAUAUUGGUCAAUGGGCGUAAGCCUGAACCAGCCAAGUCGCGUGAGGGAUGAAGGUUCUAUGGAUCGUAAACCUCUUUUAUAAGGGAAUAAAGUGUGGGACGUGUCCUGUUUUGUAUGUACCUUAUGAAUAAGGAUCGGCUAACUCCGUGCCAGCAGCCGCGGUAAUACGGAGGAUCCGAGCGUUAUCCGGAUUUAUUGGGUUUAAAGGGUGCGUAGGCGGCCUUUUAAGUCAGCGGUGAAAGUCUGUGGCUCAACCAUAGAAUUGCCGUUGAAACUGGGAGGCUUGAGUAUGUUUGAGGCAGGCGGAAUGCGUGGUGUAGCGGUGAAAUGCUUAGAUAUCACGCAGAACCCCGAUUGCGAAGGCAGCCUGCCAAGCCAUGACUGACGCUGAUGCACGAAAGCGUGGGGAUCAAACAGGAUUAGAUACCCUGGUAGUCCACGCACU
rnacentral:rRNA from 1 species